rnacentral:rRNA from 1 species
CACGUAGGGCGCAAGCGUUGUCCGGAAUUAUUGGGCGUAAAGAGCUCGUAGGCGGUCUGUUACGUCUGCUGUGAAAACCCGGGGCUUAACCCUGGGCUUGCAGUGGAUACGGGCAGACUAGAGGCAGGUAGGGGAGAAUGGAAUUCCCGGUGUAGUGGUGGAAUGCGUAGAUAUCGGGAGGAACACCAGUGGCGAAGGCGGUUGCCUGGAGCUUUGCUGACGCUGAGGCGCGAAAGCGUGGGGAGCGAUCCGG